AUUGAACGCUAGCGGCAGGCCUAACACAUGCAAGUCGAACGAGUGGCGGACGGGUGAGUAAUGUCUGGGAAACUGCCUGCUGGAGGGGGAUAACUACUGGAAACCGUAGCUAAUACCGCAUACCAUCGGAUGUGCCCAGAUGGGAUUAGCUAGUAGAUGGGGUAAAGGCUCACCUAGGCGACGAUCCCUAGCUGGUCUGAGAGGAUGACGAGCAACACUGGAACUGAGACACGGUCCAGCCUCCUACGGGAGGCAGCAGUGGGGAAUAUUGCACAAUGGGCGCAAGCGUGAUGCAGCAAUGCCGAGUGGAUGAAGAAGGCCUUCGGGUUGUAAAGUACUUUCAGCGGGGAGGGGUUACCCGCAGAAGAAGCACCGGCUAACUCCGUGCCAGCAGCCGCGGUAAUUC
rnacentral:rRNA from 1 species